rnacentral:lncRNA from 10 species
GCCAUUAUCCCACAAAUGAUUUGUUAGGCAUGCAGGUUUGUAUUGUUUCUGAUACUAUAAGGACAACAAAUACAGCUCUUUUUUUUCAAACUGCUACACCCAGGAAGCUGGAAGAAGAGUAGAUAUUACAUAUUGAGUUUCUGAAAAAUAUAAAAGUUCCUGAGGGUAUACACCUGAAAGUAAAACAGGUACUUCUGCUGCUCAACAUCAAGAUUCAAGGAGUUCAUCACUUGGAUGAGACUGGGGAAGAGGAUGGGUAUUUUUUGUUCACCAGAAUACUGAGAAUUGCAGUAUAUCUUUUUAGGAUAAUACUUUUUACAGUGAGAUUUCCUAGUAGUCACCCUACGGUGAUCAGGACCAGAAUUUUCUCUUCUGUCCCUUGUGUCCCUAAAACUCAUGGGAAACAAGAUUGGAGUUCAUCAAGUUCAGCAAAUGCUCUCAAGGCCAAUGCCAGCUUCAGUGUUCAACAUACCAUGGUGUCAGGCCCAUAUUGUGUCUGGAGUUGGUUCCUGCUGGUGGGUUCGUGGUCUCGCUGACUUCAAGAAUGGAGCUGCAGACCUUCCAAGUGAGUGUUACAGCUCUUAAAGAUGGCAUGGACCCGAGAGUGAGCAGUAGCAAGGCUUACUGUGAAGAGCUAAAAGACAAAGCUUCCACAGCCUGUAAGGUGACCUGAAUGGGUUGCCACUGCUGGCUGGGGUGGCCAGCUUUUAUUCCCUUAUUGUCCCCUCCCAUGUUGCAUUUCCAUCCUAUCAGAGUGUCCUUUUUAAAAGCCUCUCUGCGAUUGGCUACUUUUAGAAUCCUGCUGAUUGGUGCAUUUUACAGAGUGCUGAUUGGUGUGUUUUACAAUCCUCGUUAGACAAGAAAGUUCCCCAAGUCCCCACUUGACCCAGAAAGUCCAGCUGGCCUCACCUCUCAAUAUCAACAGUCUGAAGUCUCUCAACCUACUCCUGUUUUGUCUCUCCUGUAUCUUUUACAGGCAUUCUCCAACCCCAUUCCACCAAAAAUGUCUCUUUCACUUCUGAUUUCAAUUUAGUGUCUACUUCCUAGACAACUGAAACUGACAACAAACAGAGGCCCUUAUUUGAAGGGGGCCAUUAAAAUAUAAAGUGACAAGAAUUUAAUUAGGAUAGAUUUGAAAUGUAUUGACUAAUUAUUCAUUUAUUCAGCAAAUAUUUGGGAACCCAUUAUGCAUCAAUGUGGUUGUCUUCACAAAUAUGAUGUUACAUUUUUAAGAGGAAACCAAAACGUUUUUCUUUCUUGUUUCCAUUAUAGUCGUAGGAAUUCAGAGAAAAUAUUUCUUUUCUUCCAUUGUCUGGGUAUGAUUGCAGUGUUUCAGAAUGUACCUUAUCUCUUCUGAAAUGCAAUAACUUUCAUUUUAAAUAACUAGGCUUCUUCAACUAGCCACAUUUGCCAGAUGAUAAUAGACCAUAAAAAAUAAAGAGAAUCAAGUACCUAACUACCCAAUUAAAGAUCAAAACAGUGACAAAAUCAAAGUAGAAGAUUAUAUUUCUGGAAUGCUUGAAUUCUCCUAAUAAUUGGAAUGGGAAUAAAAACAAAAAUCAUGUAUCACACUUUAUCAAGGGUUUAGAAUAGAUUCAUUAAUAAAAUAAAGUUUGCCUUCCUUUUAUGCAAUAGAUACGUCCUGGAAAGAUGUAGGCAAAUUGAAUUUGUCUAAUCAAAUCAUGUACCAAUGCUUUUUAUUAAGGAAAGUUAUGAAUUUCUUACCAAAGAAUUGUCCAGAGUUUUAUACUGGUUUUGCUUAAAUCAAGGUAAAUUCUCAAGAUGGCAUAUUUCAAUAUACUAAAUAUAAUAAAUAAUUGAAGAGGAAAUAUUUAAUAAUUAAAUACAAAAGCUAUAUCUUGGAAGCCGGAUUCCUACAAAUUGAAAUGGGAAAUGUCUCUAGGUCAAUUUGAUUUCUCUAAAUUUGUAAAAUAAUGUUAUUUUUAAAAUCAAUAUUUUACUCUUUAAGAUAUCUUUGCCCCUUUUAAAUUUAUCUUUGCUUUCAUGUGCUCAGAAAGAAGAAAUAAGGACAAAUUUACUUUCUACAAUACAUAUUAAUAGUCUUCUCUUUCCUGAGAAUAUUUUUAUUGCAAAUAUGUAGUCAUAUAUACGUAAGAUAAGGAUAUUUUAAAUACUACUUUAAAAGUUAUUACUAUAAUGCUUUAGCUUAUACAAAUUCUAAAUCAGAGUUCAUCUAUAAUUGAUCCCUAAAGACUGAAAGAUGGUAAAGGGAAGAUGAUAAAAUUAGCUAGUUUCUAUAGAAGGAACAUGAUGUGCUGAGUAACAACUAUGAAUUCCAAAUGUCAAAAUCUACUCUUACAUAAAAUAAUUUCAAAGCUUCUGUCACCAGGAUAAAUUAUCAUGUUAAACUACCAAAUUCCAUCCAAUAAUUUGUUUUCCAUGAAAUUUUUGUAACAGAAACAGAUUAUCAUGACAAUUUGAUGUAAUCAAUAAAAAUAUUUAUGUGCUGAUUUCAUGAAAACAAGUUUUAUAUCUGGAUGAAGAUGAAGAUUAGGAGAAAAUAGCUCCUGCUCAGAAUUUCAGAGCACCAAGGGCCAGACAAUGAUGUCCAGAUAGUGGUUUUUGAAAUUUCAGUGUUUUAGAGGGUUUCUCAAAUGGCUCUUUUUGAUUCUGCAAGCAGAUUGCUUCAAAGGGACAGCUGUUUCCCUGGAGUCCACUUAAGUAUCUGCAGGCAUGAUCUUGAUGGGUCAUAUAUUAGAUAUCUACUGAUUAUUCAUUUAGCUUCCCCAGGACACUAUAGUUAAGAGGUUACACUGGCUUUCCAUUCAAAGGCAGAGCUAAAGCAGAACACAGAGCAGAACUACCUUUGAAUUUACAGUCACUGUUAGCUUUUUUUCACAUAAAAUAUCAUGUGCUGUAGAUUUUGAAGACACGGUAGCUGAAUCCACAUGCCUACAGUUUUUAAACAACAUAAAAAUGUAAAAUUAUAGAAUAGCACAUUGCUCUCAGUGAGGUGAGAUCAUGCCACUGCACUCCAGCCUGGGUGACAGAGCGAGAUGCUGCCUAAAAAAAGAAGGACACUAUCCUAACUUCUAAGAUUUUUUAAUAUUGGGAAGAUAAAAAUAUGUUACCAGAUUACCUUAUAUAAAUUAUCUCCCCUUUUCUUUCAAGCACUGGCACAUGUACUCUUGAAACAUGGACUUUAGGAAGGGCACAGAAGCCAAUUACUGUGAUGCUGUGUAAUAAGCUCAAUAAUGGUAAAAAUUUCAAAUGUUGGUAUCUCUAGGGGAGCACAGAAGAGAAAGCAAAUAACUUCUCCCGGGAAAAUUUACAAGUAACAUUAUCCUGGCAGCAGCAG